CAUCCUUUCCUACUUGGAGCUUAGGGCCGAAACCAUGAGGCGAUUUCUCUACUUUGCUGGCUGUGUUUCCUGAGCAAGUGACAAGAUGGAGCUGAUUAAAAGAAGACAAGGGAAGUCUCAGUGCCAGACCACUUCAGAAAUGAAGCAUUCCAGAAAGGAGCUUCCUUUCUUCCCCACUCCCUGUGGCCACCUGCCGCUGCCGAAGAAUUCCUCUAGCGGGUGGAAAAAGCCUUCCAGACUGUAAUUAGAUGGAGGGAGAAAUUGUGUCUGUGCAAAUACUUAAGUAGUAUGAAGAGUAUGAAUUGAAUUUCUGUCUCAGGGAAAUCAGAUAAAAGGUGGGUAUAGGAGGUAAGUAUCAGUACUUGAAGAGAAGGCUGAGGAUGAAGGAGAAGUCAACUGGGGGUGAAAAAGUCAUGAAGAUUUAGAGAAUUGCCCAGAGUCAGAUCUUUGUGUCUUAAAGUGGAAGCUGUGUUCUGAGGAAUGUUCUUUGUGGAGUGCCAUGAUACACUUUAAGCAAGUUUGAAUUUAAGGUUGUUUUUGUUGCUGCUGUUUUAAAAAACUGAGUUGCUUUCAAGAGAUGAAGAUUUUUCCCAGGGAAUUCUUUAAUGUUGGAGCUUGAGGACAGAGUUUAGAUACUAAUGAGGUCUCUGCCUUCAAGGGAUUUAUAAUCAAAUUUGGAGAACUAUGGAAUGAGAUAAGACAACUGUCAAUACAAAUAUAUAGAACAUCCUGCUUAUCAUUGGCCCUCCCCUCACAUACACAUCCUGUUGGCUUCACGUCUGCUGGAUGUGUGGGUCUUUUGGGAUUGGGCUGUCAGAACUGCUGUUACUAGGAGGUAAGCAGUUAGAAAGUUCUUCCUGAACCUGGAGGAGUUGGCACUCUGUGUUGUUCCUCCCUGUUGUAUAUUUUUGUUCAAACUAGAAGGUUUUUAUUCCAGUAAAAAAAAAAAAUUGUAACCCAUGUAUGAAAACAAGUCAUUGAUACAAAAGAUGAAAAAGAACAUAGACCAGAUCUGGACUGGAUAUUAAGAGAAUGGGCCAAUGAGAAAAGCAAAGUAAGCCCCUAUCCUCCCCCAUGCUGGACCAUUUUCAAACUCCUUUCAGAGGCAUCCUCACAACCAUCCUGUGAAGGCCUGAAGGCAAGUGGUAGAGACCAGGUUUAUACUUGGAUUGUUUCUGCUUCUGUAAAUGAGAGAGCUUGGAGGAAAUGAUUGUUGUGUUAGCAACCUCCAACAAGGCCCCUGAUGUUCCCUGCCACCUUGUAUUCAUGUUCCUGGGUAAUUUAUCCCCUUGAGUGUAUACUGGAUCUAGUGAUUCCUAAUGAGUAGAAUACAGCAGAAGUGAUGGGAUGUCACUUCUGAGAUUAGGUUAUAAAAAGACUGUGGCUUCUGUUUUAGGAACUCUCUCAUUCUUUCUGUCUCUUGGAUAUUCUUACUCUGGGGAAAGGAAGCUACCCAUUUUGUGAAGAACCAAAAGCCAGAGAAGAUUUGAGGCUGGCCAAAAGCCACAUGAGAGAGCCCAGAAGCAGAUC
rnacentral:lncRNA from 1 species